UAUUGAUUAGACGUUACUGAUAAUCCUCUUAAGAAAAAUAAUAUUCUUUAUCUAACUCUAAUCUAACUUUUUCUAAAUCUAUCUCUCAUAUUGAAUCAUUUUACCUUUCCUUAUAUCUAUUUUUCUACGGAUUGUUGAAGACCUGUGUUGUUUGAACCUCGAACUCCGAGGUUUUAAAAGGACAAUGCCACAGCCCUCCCCUCUGCCAUAUCCAUCUGCUUUAUUGGAGAAAGGUUUGCUAGUGCCAUCAGGCAGAGUGAAGGGCUACUAAGGAGGAGGAGCAGGCACUGUCCAGAGCAAAUGAAGGCCCAGUGAGAUUGAAAGUGUAGGAGAUUCUGUUGG